AACGAACGCUGGCGGCAUGCCUAACACAUGCAAGUCGAACGAGAACUUCGGGCCUAGUGGUGAACGGGUGCGUAACGCGUGGGAAUCUGCCCUUAGGUUCGGAAUCACUCCCCGAAAGGGGUGCUAAUACCGGCUAAUAUCUUCGGACCACAGAUUUAUCGCCGUUGGAUGGGCCCGCGUUGGCUUAGCUAGUUGGUAGGGUAAAAGCCUACCAAGGCGACGAUCCAUAGCUGGUCAGAGAGGAUGAUCAGCCACACUGGGACUGAGACACGGCGCAGACUCCUACGGGAGGCAGCAGUGGGGAAUAUUGGACAAUGGGGUAAAGCCUGAGCCAGCAAGGCCGCGUGAGUGAUGAAGUCCGGAGGGUUGUAAAGCUCUUUUACCCGGGAUGAUAAUGACAGUACCGGAAGAAUAAGCUCCGGCUAACUCCGUG
rnacentral:rRNA from 1 species